AGUGUGUGUGUGUGUGUGUGUGUGUAUAUAUAUAUAUAUAUGUGUGUGUGUGUGUGUACACACACACACACACACUUA